UAAUACGGAGGGUGCAAGCGUUAAUCGGAAUUACUGGGCGUAAAGCGCACGCAGGCGGUUUGUUAAGUCAGAUGUGAAAUCCCCGGGCUCAACCUGGGAACUGCAUUUGAAACUGGCAAGCUAGAGUCUCGUAGAGGGGGGUAGAAUUCUAGGUGUAGCGGUGAAAUGCGUAGAGAUCUGGAGGAAUACCGGUGGCGAAGGCGGCCCCCUGGACGAAGACUGACGCUCAGGUGCGAAAGCGUGGGGAGCAAACAGGAUUAGAUACCCUGGUAGUCCACGCUGUAAACGAUGUCGAUUUGGAGGUUGUGCCCUUGAGGCGUGGCUUCCGGAGCUAACGCGUUAAAUCGACCGCCUGGGGAGUACGGCCGCAAGGUUA
rnacentral:rRNA from 1 species